UGCAAAAUGCAGGACACACAAACACUGAACAUCGACACCUUGAACGCACAUUGCGGCCCGGGCUUCUCGGAGCCUGGGCCACGUCUGUUCGAGUGUCAGCUAAGUAUCCCCCCAAUUGGCUGGGUCGAAAGACCUCUUGCCAUGGGGUGGCAUUGGCUCGUCGCAUGGAGCGA
rnacentral:rRNA from 1 species